rnacentral:rRNA from 1 species
GCAAGCGUUGUUCGGAUUUACUGGGCGUAAAGGGCGCGUAGGCGGCCAGCACAAGUCAGUUGUGAAAUCUCCGAGCUUAACUCGGAAAGGUCAACUGAUACUGUGCGGCUAGAGUGCGGAAGGGGCAACUGGAAUUCUUGGUGUAGCGGUGAAAUGCGUAGAUAUCAAGAGGAACACCUGCGGCGAAGGCGGGUUGCUGGGCCGACACUGACGCUGAGGCGCGAAAGCUAGGGGAGCGAACGGG